UACGGAGGAUGCGAGCGUUAUCCGGAUUCAUUGGGUUUAAAGGGUGCGCAGGCGGGCGUAUAAGUCAGGGGUGAAAUGCCACGGCUCAACCGUGGAACUGCCUUUGAUACUGUAUGUCUUGAGUUUAGUUGAAGUGGGCGGAAUGUAGCAUGUAGCGGUGAAAUGCAUAGAGAUGCUACAGAACACCGAUAGCGAAGGCAGCUCACUAAGUUAAGACUGACGCUCAUGCACGAAAGCGUGGGGAUCAAACAGGAUUAGAAACCCUAGUAGUCC
rnacentral:rRNA from 1 species